GGUUAAGCGACUAAGCGUACACGGUGGAUGCCCUGGCAGUCAGAGGCGAUGAAGGACGUGCUAAUCUGCGAUAAGCGCCGGUAAGGUGAUAUGAACCGUUAUAACCGGCGAUUUCCGAAUGGGGAAACCCAGUGUGACUCGUCACACUAUCAUUAACUGAAUCCAUAGGUUAAUGAGGCGAACCGGGGGAACUGAAACAUCUAAGUACCCCGAGGAAAAGAAAUCAACCGAGAUUCCCCCAGUAGCGGCGAGCGAACGGGGAGGAGCCCAGAGCCUGAAUCAGCAUGUGUGUUAGUGGAAGCGUCUGGAAAGGCGCGCGAUACAGGGUGACAGCCCCGUACACAAAAGCGCAUAUGCUGUGAGCUCGAUGAGUAGGGCGGGACACGUGGUAUCCUGUCUGAAUAUGGGGGGACCAUCCUCCAAGGCUAAAUACUCCUGACUGACCGAUAGUGAACCAGUACCGUGAGGGAAAGGCGAAAAGAACCCCGGCGAGGGGAGUGAAAAAGAACCUGAAACCGUGUACGUACAAGCAGUGGGAGCCCCACCACUAAGCCAGUGGUGAACUCCACAUACGCAUCCUUUGCUGAGGAUACGGUUAACGGAGCGAAAGCGACGUUCAACCGCAAAAGAAGCAGAGGGGGCUUAGUGGUGG
rnacentral:rRNA from 1 species